GCCGUAGCCUCCUCGUUCGUCUUCUCAGGACUCCAGAGAACCGUUGGGGAACUUUGGGGUGUGCUCGGAAAAGGCAGCGUGCGCACCUAGGGCGAGGGACUAGCUGGGAAGGGUGUGCCUGUGCUUGGGGAUGGGAGCAGGAAGUGUCUGGGACCUCGUCGCCCCCGCGGCGGUGUAUAAAGCCGGGCGGGCCGUCAGAGCGGAGCUUCAGAGCAGAGACAAGAGCCCAGAAAGGAGCAGAUGCUAGAUUUGCAAGAUCAGAAGCAGGUCUUGAUCCUCCUGCCCAGGAUGAACCAGACUUGAUGAUGCCACCUUCAGGAGCCACCACACUGUGUGACAGUGGGGCAUUUGGGCCGUCCCUGGGAAGAACAGAUGCGCUGCUGUCACACAUGUCCACCACCACAUGUGACAUUAGUGACGUUAUCCUGACGUCACAGGAUCCAAGAAUGAUGAUCUGUGAAGAGUUUUCCAAGGUCACCUACUUCUAACUCUUUUGAAAGAUUUAAAGACAUUGGGCCUGAAAACUUCAGUGACUUGUCCGGGGAAACGCAGUUUGUGACAGUUCACUCUCUCACAGCUGAAGCACAGUCCUCUGUACUCGCCCAGGAGCCACAGAGAGUGAACAUCCCUCAGACUCUCUCCUGGCUUUGAUGAAGCAAGCUGCCAUGUUGGAGAGGCCUACAUGACAAGGAACUGAAGGUUGCCUCCAGCCAGCUCCAGCCAACAGCCAUCCAGGAAUUGAGGCUCUCAGUCCAACAGGCCUUGAGGAACUGCAUCCAGCCAGCAACUAUAGAAGUGAGCAAAGAAGGGUGUAUUUCCCCAGUCAAGCCUUCAGAUGAGACCCCAGCCCCAGCUGACACCUUAAUUGCAGCCUUGUGAGAGA
rnacentral:lncRNA from 1 species